UGUCGGCCCAUGUACAACGCGUAUUGAAACGCAGCGCCCAGACUUCAACUAAUCUGCCCUCAAUAAAGCUGAAAUAAUUAUCCUAAGCUGCCUUUCCAGAAGAAAAAUCAUUGAGGAAUUCAAAACUUUUUUUUAAAAGAUCUUUUCUACAUUCCGAUGCAGAUCUGGGGGCGCGGCGCCGGGUACACACCACUCAGGAGAGCUCAAUGAGGGAGGAGUGGAAAAAAAAAAGAAGUUGUGGGAGAAUUUAAACGUGAACUCAACUGGAGGCUGGAGCCAAAAUGGUCGCAGGCCCUAAAUCUCAAGCUCGGAUCUUCCUUAGGCCUUGAUCCGACAGUGCCAGGUUUUAAAGGGCCGAGGAGUGCAAACUCGAUUUGAGGGUGACACCGAAUGUUUGGGUUGGGCUAGGGGACUAUACUGGCUCUUUAGCAGGAGGCAGCUCAGGGGGCCUAAACUCGCUGACCAGGGCAGAAGAAUGUUCACCCUAAAAGGUAGAUCCGUCGAGCCCCACUUUUGGCGGUCUCUCUCCAAACAUCUUCAUCUGCACCAGGAGUGCUUUUCCGCUCAACUGCAAGGCUCUGGGCGGUCGCUCUUUGCAGGCCCAGAAAGAGCCCAAAGGUUGGGACACAAAAACAGACACUUCAUCUUUUCUUCCGGACCCCUUUCUCUUGUAGGGGGAAGGAUUAUAGACUGAAAGGUGGGAGGGAGAAGGGGCAGGAGGAGGAAGCGGGGGGAGGAAGGAAUGAAAAAGGGGAGGGGAGUGGGUAUUGUGCCGCGUGUGGAGGGGGAGAAUUCCUACGGGUGGGUUUCCGAAUAUUGUGUUCAACUUUUUGAAAGCAGCUCGUGACCCCGAAACUGCAUCCCCCGGAGCCGGGGACCCAGGCGCCAGGCGGGCGGGUGAACCCGGCCAGUCCCUCCCAAUCCCCGCAACCCCCCGCCUCCGAGUGGGGGGGAUCCAGGCCUGGAGGGAGGCUGGGCAGGUGCCGAGGGCUGUGCCGAAAGCGCUGAAAUCGAAAACCCUCGCCACUCAGGAAGAACUGAGGCAAAAGGAUCACAGAUGCUGCUCGGGGCCAGCCCUAUACUCCCUCCAGUGCCUGGACUCCCGUGGACCCGCGGGGCUCUGCAGUUCUCAGACGGCCGCGCCUUGUGAGCGCUAAGCCGGGAGGAGGGCGCAGGCAGGGCGCACAGCUCUGAGCGCGCCCCUACCCGGCUCGGGCCCGCAGCAGCCCCGACUGUCCGAGAGCCUCUCCGCAAGCAAGGCUCUGCGCCGCCCUCUGAGCCCACCUCCUGGCCACAACGCCGCCUGCGCUUCUCCAGCCCAGGCCGGAAGCCCUACGCUGCCUCCUGAAGCCGGACUUUCUGGAAGCCCAUCUCCGUAUGCUCACCAGCCCACCCUCCUACGCUGGUCAGAGUGAGAUUGCUAACCUCAAGACCCCAUUCAAUGCCAGCUUUCAACUGCUGCUGAAGACCAAUGUAGGUCCUGGAUUAGAAGAACCGCAGAGUGUAAGUCUAUUUGACCGGCCCCUCCUCCCUUCCCUCCUUCCAUUCAGCUCCACUCCCGUGCCCAGCCCCCAUUCCAUUCCACGACCCCCUUAACUAAGCCCAAGCAUAAACUCCAGGAUCAUCUCUGAGCCGGACGACAGUAGUGUCCAGGUCACGAUCCGUUCUAAGGGCAAAAGCAGCGGCAGAAAAGUCAGGGGCGGGUGCUCUAGGAGAGAGGGAGACCUGAAGCGGAGGGUAGGAUUCAGUUCGGAGCCCACCGGCUGCUGAGGGGAGGAGGCGAAAGGAGGGGGUUGGGAGUCCACCGGCAUUGGGUCGGGGCAGCAGGGACUUCAGGCGGCGGCGUGGGGGGCUAGAUCCGGAGGAGAGGGGAGGGGUGGCGGGGGUCGGAGGAGCACGCAGGGCGGAGGGGUGUGGGGCUCUUUAAGAGCCACACGGCUAGCAGGAGAGGCGUGCGGCCCUGUGCUGGUAGCGCACUGACCCCGAAGGGGAUUUAGCGGGAAGGGAGCGACCGGGUUCUGGGGGCUUUGUCCGGGGGCGCCCAGAAAGGCCGAGGCACAAGAAUAAGAAGCGGCUGCAGCGUGAAAGGCUGCGAGGAGCGGCGGCGCUGCUGCUCUUGACUUCUGAGCAGGGCUUAGAAGGCCUGCCCCGGCUUAAGCUGAACUGAGGGUGCAGAGUCCUGAACGCCGAGUUCACGAGCCCUGAGUCCUGGCCUCUAGGCUGAGGAGGCGUGGGAUAGGGGCGGACGCUGGAGUAGUGGGUCUUCUUGCGACAACCCCUUCGUGGAUCUUACAGCCUUGCUACCCUAGCGCAAGGUUGUUAGCCUAGCCCGCCGCGUCUGGCAUAGCCAAAGAAAUUUACUUUCCCAGCUUGGCUUUUGCUUUUGUGUGUCCACCUCGAGCAGAUCCGGAGCUGGCCGACCCCAGACUGAUUCUCAACAGGUGGCUGGGUAGUGCCCCCCCCCCUGCUCUGUGUUGGUCGUGCCGGGACCCAUCGCACACAGAGAAGCCACCUUACCCCUCACCUCACCCCGUCGGCCCAAAGACUGACCACCCUCGCCCGAGUCGGGGGGUGGGGUGGGAAUCCCGGAUCACACACACACACACACACACACACACACACACACACACCAGGGUAGGGGAACAGGGAGGAUCUUACCUGCAGAAAGGUAAGAGAAGCCGGGAGCGUGUAGCAGCGGCGGAUAAAUAUUCAUUAGGAAGUGUAAGUCCUUUCAAAGGGCUCCGCGCGCGCGCGCGCUCUAGCUCCUGUCUCUUUCCCUCCCUCUGUCCUCCAGGAAGGCUUCCCCUCCUCUAGCUAUCUCAACGCCCCCCCCCCCUUCCUGCGAAAUACCGGGUGGAUCCUAGGCUAGCUAACCUGUUGGGAAGCCUGAACUGCGGCAGCGCCUCUGCAGCUAGCAGUUUGCUUUCGCUCCUGGGGCGCGCGUCCCCCCCCCAUCCCCUCCCCUCCUUCCUUUCGCCCAGCCCCUCACCCCUCCUAAAUUACUACAUCAUUAGCUUUAUUGGGCGGGGGGGGGGUGGCGGGUAACGGAGCAGCCAGACGCACCUCUCCAUAGAAGGGUGAAUAGUUGGUGCCCUGCGAUGCAACCCCAACUCCAUCUCCACCUCAUUCUCACCCAUCUGCACAUCCUCAUCCAAUCUUGCUUCUUUUUCUUCGCUCUUUCCACCUCCACCUCCAUCCUGUGUCAACCUAACUCCCUCAGCAGCCCUCCCACCCGCCGCCGCCAAUCCGGAUCACAGAUUGGGUUGGGAGUGAGAUUGCAAGGCUGUUAGGUCCGAAGGUCCUGUGUGUCGAGGUUAGAACUCCUCCCUGCCGUGAGUAUGGGGUGGUUAUCAAGAUCUCCUUCUCCUUCCUGACCCUGCAAGGUUACCAAACAGCCUGGACUUUUGAAUCAGAUCUCUGGAGCGAGCAUUAAGAACUCCAGCCAAACAGAUCUCAGGGCCUGGCCCUUUCACUCAGCCGCGGAGGCUGCUUGAGGGAUGGGGAGAGGUGACUUCACUCAGCGCCAACGCGCAGGAAAAACUCAUAGACGACAGUUGGACUAAUACUCGUCCUUUAAGAAUGCACUACCUGAAGUUAGUCGAAAGUCAUCUUCAAUCAAGGAAAGGAAAAAAAAAAAAAACCUCACAUCUAGAAGCUUCGCUGAAGCCACUUCCAACAGCACGCGAACAUGUUUGCGCACACCCUUCUCUGUGCACUCCCCAAUGCCUGCUCUCUCUCGGGCAGGUGAAAAUACAGGCUGCCCAGGCCAGAGGAGAGAAGGCGGCGGAGGAAUACAUCGCUUAGGGUUUUUUAGAAACUAGGAAUAACUGUUUUCAAUACUCUGCUCUGCUACCAGGACCUUAGGUCCUUCUUGGGACCCUGAAAAGUGGCUUUGCCCCACGAUGUGGGGGGGGGGGCAGUGACUCUAGCUCUGGCCCUCCUACUGGGAGCUUAAAGUUGGGGUGAAGGGCUUAAGGAGGAGCCGAGGGGGCGGGCCCUGUUAGUUUGCAGUUGUAAGUGCAGCUGUGCCUGGGACACCAAGAAAGAGAGUCUCACCCGCUAACGCUCCUGGUGCUUGCUUAGAGGUUCCCCGAGGUUAACUACGGGAGCUUCUGCUCUCUCCUGAGCCCCAGGCCAACACAGGACGAUGGUGGCCGGGAUGCCAGCCGACGCCUAAACUCAGUAAGACUUCAGUUGCCUCUCAUUUUGGCUGUUCAGAGCUAAUGUCUACCGGAGAAAGUUUUAGAAGUGGGUCGCACCCGUCCUGAAUCCACCCUGUGAGGUGGCAGAGGGUCAGAGGGUCACUUCUUCUUGUUAAAGGUUAGCAUAAUACUUACUAGGGUAGAGGAAGAUGUGGAGAAAAAAAAAAAAAGCCUACGGUGCCUAGGACUCUAACCACCUUACAGCUUACUCAAAGUUCAGAACCUCCCAUUGUACACCUUCUCUCCCCAACGCAGAUCCCUAAGGUCUCAUCUUCAUCUGUGUGUGUUCACAGAAGGUACAGUGUGCGAGAACACACUUAGGGAAAUUUUAGGAACGCUAACCACAGUCCUGGAGGAAUAAAGAUGUGGCGAAGGAAUGGAUCGAGUGCAUGAACACAUACACCUUGUUGUCCAGAUGCAGACAAAAGCUACCAUGUCCGCUUGGAGUGACACCCAGACAUGCACAGAGAUGUACAGGAAGCCAAGGAGAGUGGGAUCAAUCAGAGUACAGUACAAGUACAGAGUACAGUGCAAGAUGCCCAGGGACCCUGGAGAAAAACCUUUGUUGACUCUUCUGUAUGGAAAGUUUCUGAAGAAAGGGCCAAGGAAUGAUCUGCCCCGGAGGCUGCCUUUAGGCUCCCAUACCUGCUCUGUUGGAGACACCCAGAAGAGGCCAGUACGCCAAAGACUUUUUGGUUUGGUUAUUUCUGUUGCUUGUUGUCUUUUUUCAUCCUUUGCCUGGGAAGUUGUGCUCUGGAAGAGGGCUUGAGUAGACAGCACAGGCCUCCAGUAGAUAACAAGAGAUUCUCAAUCUCCAAUGAGGACAUUCCGCUCUAAGGAAGCUUCCAGAUAGGGGAAAGCCCUGUUUUGUCCCCCUUUCUCCUCUGAGAUCUGAAAAAA